UACGUAGGGGGCAAGCGUUGUCCGGAUUUAUUGGGCGUAAAGAGCGUGUAGGCGGCUUUACAGGUCCGUUGUGAAAACUCGAGGCUCAACCUGGGAACUGCAUUUGUGACUGCAUCGCUGGAGUGCGGCAGAGGGGGAUGGAAUUCCGCGUGUAGCAGGUGAAAUGCGUAGAUAUGCGGAGGAACACCGAUGGCGAAGGCAAUCCCCUGGGCCUGCACUGACGCUCAUGCACGAAAGCGUGGGGAGCAAACAGG
rnacentral:rRNA from 1 species